rnacentral:rRNA from 1 species
GGGUGAUGCCCCGGAAGCCCGGGCGGGCCGUCGCUGCGUCACGCUGCUCGCCCGCGGGCGCCCGCCCUUGCGCGCACGUCUUGGCGCCGGGUUGCCAGCGGUGUCCGGCUAGCAGGGACCGCCGCGGGGGGUGCAACCGUCGUCCUGAGCCGUCCGCCGCGUCCCGGGUGAGCGGGCAUGCAUGGCUUCGUCCUUGGGGAGAGCGUCGCGCUCCGGCAGGAUCGACCGGAUGA